rnacentral:misc_RNA from 1 species
GAUGAAGAACGUAGCGAAAUGCGAUAAGUAAUGUGAAUUGCAGAAUUCAGUGAAUCAUCGAAUCUUUGAACGCACAUUGCACCCGCCAGUAUUCUGGCGGGCAUGCCUGUUCGAGCGUCAUUUCAACCAUCAAGCCCCAGGCUUGUGUUGGGGACCUGCGGCUGCCGCAGGCCCUGAAAACCAGUGGCGGGCUCGCUGUCACACCGGGCGUAGUAGAUUUUAUCUCGCUCAGGGCGUGCUGCGGGUUCCGGCCGUUAAAAAGCCUUUUUUACCCAAGGUUGACCUCGGAUCAGGUAGGAAGACCCGCUGAACUUAAGCAUAUCAAUAAGCGGAGGA